rnacentral:rRNA from 1 species
AGAGUUUGAUCCUGGCUCAGGAUGAACGCUAGCUACAGGCUUAACACAUGCAAGUCGAGGGGCAGCAUUUCAGUUUGCUUGCAAACUGGAGAUGGCGACCGGCGCACGGGUGAGUAACACGUAUCCAACCUGCCGAUAACUCGGGGAUAGCCUUUCGAAAGAAAGAUUAAUACCCGAUGGUAUAAUCAGACCGCAUGGUCUUGUUAUUAAAGAAUUUCGGUUAUCGAUGGGGAUGCGUUCCAUUAGGCAGUUGGUGAGGUAACGGCUCACCAAACCUUCGAUGGAUAGGGGUUCUGAGAGGAAGGUCCCCCACAUUGGAACUGAGACACGGUCCAAACUCCUACGGGAGGCAGCAGUGAGGAAUAUUGGUCAAUGGACGAGAGUCUGAACCAGCCAAGUAGCGUGAAGGAUGACUGCCCUAUGGGUUGUAAACUUCUUUUAUAUGGGAAUAAAGUUUUCCACGUGUGGAAUUUUGUAUGUACCAUAUGAAUAAGGAUCGGCUAACUCCGUGCCAGCAGCCGCGGUAAUACGGAGGAUCCGAGCGUUAUCCGGAUUUAUUGGGUUUAAAGGGAGCGUAGGUGGACAGUUAAGUCAGUUGUGAAAGUUUGCGGCUCAACCGUAAAAUUGCAGUUGAUACUGGCUGUCUUGAGUACAGUAGAGGUGGGCGGAAUUCGUGGUGUAGCGGUGAAAUGCUUAGAUAUCACGAAGAACUCCGAUUGCGAAGGCAGCUCACUGGACUGCAACUGACACUGAUGCUCGAAAGUGUGGGUAUCAAACAGGAUUAGAUACCCUGGUAGUCCACACAGUAAACGAUGAAUACUCGCUGUUUGCGAUAUACAGUAAGCGGCCAAGCGAAAGCAUUAAGUAUUCCACCUGGGGAGUACGCCGGCAACGGUGAAACUCAAAGGAAUUGACGGGGGCCC